AUACGUAGGUGACAAGCGUUAUCCGGAUUUACUGGGCGUAAAGGGCGUGUAGGCGGUCUUGCAAGUCAGAAGUGAAAUUCCUGAGCUCAACUCGGGCGCUGCUUCUGAAACUGCAGGCCUUGAGUGCUGGAGGGGAUAGCGGAAUUCCUAGUGGAGCGGUAAAAUGCGCAGAUAUUAGGAAGAACACCGGUGGCGAAGGCGGAUAUCUGGAUAGUAACUGACGCUGAGGCGCGAAAGCGUGGGGAGCAAACAGGAUUAGAUACCCUGGUAUUCCACGCCGUAAACGAUGAAUACUAGGUGUAGGGGGUAUCGACUCCCUCUGUGCCGCAGUUAACACAAUAAGUAUUCCGCCUGGGGAGUACGGCCGCAAGGUUGAAACUCAAAUGAAUUGACGGGG
rnacentral:rRNA from 1 species